rnacentral:tRNA from 1 species
GCCAACUAGUAAGAGCGACAGAGCAACUGUUUUGUAAACAGUAGGUUGUCGGUUCGAAUCCGACAGGUGGCC